UGGGGAAUAUUGCGCAAUGGGGGGAACCCUGACGCAGCGACGCCGCGUGAGCGAAGAAAGCCUUCGGGUUGUAAAGCUCUGUAAUAAGGGAAGAACGUUGGUUAUACGAACAGUAUAACCAGUUGACGGUACCUUAGUAAUAGCCCCGGCUAACUACGUGCCAGCAGCCGCGGUAACACGUAGGGGGCGAGCGUUGUCCGGAAUCACUGGGCGUAAAGGGCGUGUAGGCGGCUAAGUAAGUCAGGUGUGAAAUCCCUCGGCUCAACCGAGGAAUAGCACAUGAAACUAUCUAGCUUGAGUGCAGGAGAGGGGAGCGGAAUUCCCGGUGUAGCGGUGAAAUGCGUAGAUAUCGGGAAGAACACCGGUGGCGAAGGCGGCUCUCUGGACUGUAACUGACGCUGAGGCGCGAAAGCUGGGGUAGCGAACGGG
rnacentral:rRNA from 1 species